rnacentral:lncRNA from 1 species
UCAAUUAAAACACACUAAUUUAAAUCUCAUAAUAAAUCUCAUAUCAUAAUUUAAAAACAUCAACUCAUAAGUCUUCUCCAAAUGCUUAUCACACCAAAACAUAAAUUACGAGAACAUACAUUGUCUCUCAGUAAUCUCAACAUAAAAAAAAGAAAUAUCUCCUCAGUGUUACAUAUUAGAGCAUAACCAAACAUAAAACAAAGAAAUUAAAAAAAAUAGCUCUAGGAACAAGC